AGCUUUUUGAAUCCAUGCUGAGAUUUCGUCAGACAUCAACGUAUUAGGGCUGAUCAGACUUUCAAGAUAAGUGAAGUU
rnacentral:pre_miRNA from 1 species